AUGGCUCGAACAGUGAAGCAGUACCUGUCCAAUCUGGAGCUAGAAAUGGAUGAGAAGAGUCUUCGGACAUUAUCACUACAGAGUGAGCCACCAACCAACACGUACUGUCAAGGUGAUGGACACCCCAAAAGGUUGAGGCCCACCAGGUCAGAAGAGCACGGAACUGGGUGUGCCUGCUGCCUUUGACCUCCCCUACCCCAGCCAACACUCAGCGGCAAAUUCAGACCUAACAAGUAUCAGUGCCUAAGAAUCCUGGUGACAAAAAGCCUGGCAAAUCCAAAACCUCCCCGGUGGCUCCCAGGGCAGGGUCAAAACAGAAAGUACAACCCCGGCAGCUGCGGCCACCACAGAAAGUCAACCAGGGGCUGCAGGUUCCUGCUGUGUCCCUUUACCCUUCUCAGAAGAAAGUCCCCGUAAAGGAUCUUCCACAUUUUGAAGAUGAACAAGUAUCUGCUGUUUAAGGCACAGGCGAGCCACCUACAAGGAGAGCACAAGAAGACGUCUCUAUCAUUGGAGCCUUGGAACUCACAUUCUGAGGAUGGUGGACCAGUUUGCCUCCUUCCCUGCCUUAAAAGCAGCAUUGGGGCUUCUUCCCUUCUUCCCUUCCCCUCUACAUGUGAAAAACUGUGACGAAGUUGCCCUGUGAAGAACUGUUGGAGCUAAUACAGCUGUUCAUACUGCUCUUUCCCUUUAUUGAAUUCGCGUUAGGGAAUAAACAAGCCUUUAAACAUGAUAAAAGAUCAAAAACCUAGUUACAUAUGCCAGCCUUUGCAAGGCAGGUUAGUCACCAAAGACUAACCGCCAAGUGGCUUUAUGGACGCUGACUAUAGAGAAGGCCUAAGUGUAGCAACCAUCUGCUCACAGCUGCUAUUAACCCUAUAUUGACUGAAAAUGACCCCUCCGCUCUAUUUUUGUGUUGUUUUUGCACAGACUCCGGAAAAGUGAAGGCUGCCAAUCUGAGUAGUAC